UACGUAGGGGGCUAGCGUUGUCCGGAAUCAUUGGGCGUAAAGAGCGUGUAGGCGGCCCGGUAAGUCCGCUGUAAAAGUCAAAGGCUCAACCUUUGAAUGUCAGUGGAUACUGCCGGGCUAGAGUCCGGAAGAGGCGAGUGGAACUCCUGGUGUAGCGGUGGAAUGCGCAGAUAUCAGGAAGAACACCUAGGGCGAAGGCAGCUCUCGGGACGGUACUGACGCUGAGACGCGAAAGCGUGGGGAGCGAACAGG
rnacentral:rRNA from 1 species